rnacentral:rRNA from 1 species
GACGAACGCUGGCGGCGUGCCUAAUACAUGCAAGUAGAACGCUGAAGGAGGAGCUUGCUUCUCCAGAUGAGUUGCGAACGGGUGAGUAACGCGUAGGUAACCUGCCUGGUAGCGGGGGAUAACUAUUGGAAACGAUAGCUAAUACCGCAUAACAGUAGAUAUUGCAUGAUAUCUGCUUAAAAGGUGCAAUUGCAUCACUACCAGAUGGACCUGCGUUGUAUUAGCUAGUUGGUGAGGUAACGGCUCACCAAGGCGACGAUACAUAGCCGACCUGAGAGGGUGAUCGGCCACACUGGGACUGAGACACGGCCCAGACUCCUACGGGAGGCAGCAGUAGGGAAUCUUCGGCAAUGGACGGAAGUCUGACCGAGCAACGCCGCGUGAGUGAAGAAGGUUUUCGGAUCGUAAAGCUCUGUUGUAAGAGAAGAACGAGUGUGAGAGUGGAAAGUUCACACUGUGACGGUAUCUUACCAGAAAGGGACGGCUAACUACGUGCCAGCAGCCGCGGUAAUACGUAGGUCCCGAGCGUUGUCCGGAUUUAUUGGGCGUAAAGCGAGCGCAGGCGGUUAGAUAAGUCUGAAGUUAAAGGCUGUGGCUUAACCAUAGUACGCUUUGGAAACUGUUUAACUUGAGUGCAAGAGGGGAGAGUGGAAUUCCAUGUGUAGCGGUGAAAUGCGUAGAUAUAUGGAGGAACACCGGUGGCGAAAGCGGCUCUCUGGCUUGUAACUGACGCUGAGGCUCGAAAGCGUGGGGAGCAAACAGG